rnacentral:lncRNA from 1 species
ACAAACAUACAACCAAAACAUGCCAUUCACCCAACCCCAAUACCAAGAACAUCCCCCAUACCACCACCAACAAAUGGACCAUCAACCUCAGACCGAACAUCGCUUCGCACCCACACCAUCACCCUACCAAAGUCGCCUUAGCCAAAACACUAACCGCCCCUCCUCCUACCGUAGCCAAGAACCCCAAACAUCACAAUAC